GGUGUAAUCACUCCUCUCAGAGAAAGCUGUCCAUCCACCUUUCAGAUCCCCAUGAAUCACAAGAAAACACAUUUUCACCAAAUCUGGGUCAGAUACUUCCAAUGGCACAUGGCUCUCUGGAGAGUGGGGGGGAAUUGCCGUGGCGUAUGCAAAUGAGCGGCCAAUGGGGAUUUGUGCUGCUUUCUCUAGAGUCCUAGUUAUCACAGACCUUCUAUCAAAGAUCCAAAGCUUCUGGACAAGGCCGACCUCACCCACCACUGGAAUGUAUUACGGGAAGCCAGAUAUGAUGCAGCUGGGGCCUAUUUACUCACAGUGGCCAAGGUUAAAGCAGACGAGUGCCCCCCAGUGAGGAAGGAACACACUCUCAGGCACAGUGAGCAGUGAUGUUUCAGCCGUCCGUUUCGCCGGGAUGUAGAGUGGCCAAGAGUUACUCACUUAAUUCUGAUCAAUCCAACAGACGUCUCCUCCCUGCAACGCAAGCCAACACUUUCUGAAGACAGGAAAUUGGGAAAAGGGUUAAUUUGGAAGUGGCUUCUCUUUACCCUCUUGCUGUGGCUGUUUCCCAAGGGUCUGUCCUUAGCAUUUUCUCUCUCUGUACUUUCUCAUGGCUUCAACCACACCCCUAACAUAUUCCUUCUUUAUGUGAAUUUCCAGCCUCGAUCCCCUCUCGGAGUAUCAGGGUACGUGCCCCAUUUUCUGAGAAAUAGUAAUAGGAUUGCUCCAUGAACAGUUUUCCUGAGUGACCAGUUGAUAGUUCAAAUUAAAUAGAUUAUUAAAUUAAAUAGAUGCAAAACCUAAAUUAUUUCAGAUUCCCCUCAACCUUGUUCUUCUUUCUAUGUCCCCUCUAUCUACUGAUGGUGCCACUAACUCCCUCUGUCACUCAGUGCUGGAAAUGUGUAAUUACUGCUGAGAGUGGCCUCAAUCCAAAUUGGGAUAGCUUUUUGACUUUCGGCCUAUUGGCUUGGGUUUGGAUGGCACUUUGGUUAAUAUUUCUUCUCUUUGUUCUCCACAGCAGCCACUUGCCUGUCUCCCUCUUGCUUUCCUCCUAUAUUUCCUGACUUAUGAAACAGUAAUAACCUUCAUGUAUUCUUUCAAGAACUAGUGACUGCGCAUCUGCCUUGGGCCAUGGACUCCCUGGGCGCUGCUGACAUAGCAGUGAACUUGGCAAAUGGAAUCCCUGCCGUCAUGGGGUUUACCAUAUAAUGAUCAUAACAACAGAUUUUGAGCAUUUGUCGUGUGCCAGGCUCUAAGUUAAGUAUUUACAUGCAUUAUUUUGUUUAAUUCUCAUAAAAACUAUAAUACUAUUAAUAUCUUGGUUGACAUUAAGGAAACUGAGUCUCAGAGAAGGGAGGUAAGUUGCCCAAGAUCUCCCAGGGAGCUCGGCAUGGAUUUGGGCCACCGCUCCAUCCUUCUUGGUCCUUAAACAUUUAGCCUCUGUUUGUUCUGAUUGCCAUGUAUGAUCUGUGUCGUUUUGGAAUUUGUCUGAUCCACUAAUCCUCCAUGUGCAAGGACCCAGGCGAUACUAAGGAUACCAGUGUGUUGAAUAAAGCCAGGAUCCGUCUGGAAAUGGGGCAGUGCUUAGAGACGCAGGGCGGGGGAAGGAGAUAGGGCGGUGAGAAAUGGGGUGGGCGGAGGUCUGUAUGUCAUAGGAACCUGGGAGCUGACCAGAGGAAGUCCUUCCUGAUAGUGCCACGACUGCUUGUCACAAGGUGUUUGUUAUGGUGAUGGAAGGGGUGGGGCUGGGGGCUGAAAGUGGAGGAAAUCCUAAUAGUUGAAUGUGUGAAGAUUUUCUGGAUGUAAAUGAACCUAGCUGAGAAUGUGUCCCUUUGAAUUAGGCUGGAGACAUCCACUGGGCUCUUCUGGUGAUUCUGUGGGCAUGAUGCUGUUUGUACCAUCAUCUCAGAGGCUGCUGGUCAGUCUCUGUGUCGCUCGGGACCUCCAGAGGCUCCUCAGCAGGGAGUCCUGGCCUCCAUCACUGCCUUUGACACCUUCCAAGUCCUGUAGAUUUUACUUCCAUAAAGCCUCUCACAUCCAUUCUCUUGUCUCUACCAGGCCCCCAUUUCCUCUCUCUGAUCAGUCUUCAUAGAACAGAGCUGUGGUCCAAUCCCUCUGCAUAUUGUCAUGGUCCACCUUCGUGUCUUACCUCCCAUCCUGGCUGGCAGAGUCAGCCCAAGGCCAUUUAGGGGGCCUCCUGGAAGUCCCCCCAGGACUGUGUAGGUUCCCUUUCCUCCCUUUUGGGUUGCUGAAAGUAGAAGUCGCAAGGCCAAUUACUUGUCCCCAGAGCAAUAGAGAAUGUGUUAGAUUCAUCGGAACGAGGUUUAAUUAUAGCAAGAAUCCCAUAUAAUAGUUACAGGAGGCCUUACAGUGGUCUGGUGGGCUGUCUGGGCCCACCCAAACAUUUUUUUUCUACCAUGGUUAUGUAGCCACACAGCCCUGAGUCAGUCUGCCCUCCUGGGGUGCUGCUGGAGGCAAGGCCCUUACCAGCAAUACCCUUUCAAAGGGGUUUCGAGAAAUCCCGUUUUAUAGUCUGCAAUCUCAGGAGUUGCCUGCCAGUUCGCCCCUGCGCUCCUUGGUAAUAAAGAGUGUGGGCAAGUGCUGUCAUUCCUCUGGAUUAAUUCACUGUCUUCACCAAGUGCCUGUGUAGUGCCGAGCAUGGUGCUAGAUGCCGGGGACGCAGCAAUAGAGAAGACAUAAUGGAGCUUAUGGAGGAGGGUCAAAGAUGGACACUAUGGAUUCGGCCUGAGGAGCGUGGUACACAGACGUGGCGAAGAGCCUAGAGCAGGGAGAGGUGGUCUUGUCUCAGGAACAGUGGACGUCACCCCAGAAAAGUGACAUUUCACUGGAGGAUGAGUGAGAGCUAAUUGGAGAAAGGGCAGAGGGAACAGUGGUUGACAGUCCAGAGUCGAGAGGGAGAGGGGUGAAUCUGAAGGACUGAACAAGCCCAGGGCAGGCACUGAGGGGAGUCCGCAGCUGCAGGGGCAGGCGGGAGCCCAAGUACAGAAGGUCACGCGAAGGAUUCGGCCCUUAUCCCACGAGUGGUGGGAAGCCGUUGGGGAUUUAAGCAAGAUGGUGACAGGUUUUGAAAGGUCACUCUGCAUGUCGUAUGAAGAAUGAAAUGGAAAGGGACAAGCACGGCUUCUGGGAGAUCUACUAGCGGUAACAACCCAGGUGAGAGGCAGUGGGGCUUAGACAAGGGGUGGGGGUGGCAGUGGGGACGCAGAGGAGGGUUCGGACGUAGAAUCCGCAGGACUUGAUCAUCAGGUGGGUCCAGGAGAUGGAGGAGUCAAGGAUGACUGCACUGGCUCUGACUUGAAUGACAGGGUGGGUGACAUUGCCAGGGACCAAAGGAGGAAACUCUCCCAAGGAAGCAGGUUUAGGGGACGGAAUCCAUGUUGAGUUUGGAGUGAUUGUAGAAUGCUGGGAGGAGAUAUUCUCUGGGUUCAGAGAAAGAGAUCUGAGCCAGGAAUACAUGCAUGUUGUGGGGACUGAAGCCAGGAGAGGCAAUGAGAGCAUCCAGGGACAGGAAGAAGAGAGGUGGGCCUAGGACAAAGCUCCGAGGGGUGAGCAGAGGAGGAGGAGUUAGAGGGUAGCCAGAAACCCAGGAGACCAAGGAGUUAGAAAUCCAAAAAGCGAGGGUGGAUCUCAAUUAAAUGCAUUUAAUUAAAUGUCUAAUAUUUCACUUUAAAUUAUUUUCUUCUCUGUGUCGUGUUGAAACCCUCCUCUGAUACCCCUACAUUUUGAGUAAAAGUCUGUUCCAAAUUGUUUACGGACAUGAAGGAGAAUCCAUAGUGUUCCACAUUUAAGGCAGUGUGGAUCGGAGAGGGGACAGCAAGCAGCCUCAGGAAGCUGCCACUGGAAGCGCAAACCCAGGUGGGAUGAAGGGUCCAGGUGGGAACAGGAGCGUAAGGCCUAGAGCACAGGUAGAACCAGGUAACCCUUGAGAAGUGGGACUGGCCUGGCCCUGAAGUGGAUGUAGGACAGAAAUUCCUUUCCCCAAAUCCACCAGCAGGAAGAAGAGGCUUGAGGAGGGGACAGCCAGAUCUCACUGCUGCAUGGAAUGGAGCCUUCCAGGAAGGCCCACUUCCAAGUAGAAAGCAAGCCCUGAUUCUUGGGGACAGUGGGGAGCAUCUUCCCAACCACAGCGCCUGGCCUCCCUCCCAUGAAGGAGAUGAUUCAGAAUUCCCUUUUUGAGGCUCAUUCUUCAUUAUCCCCAUUCUGUUCUGAAAGAUAACUAGGCUACUUACCCUUUUGACUCCUGCCUGCUUCUGGAAAGUUCCUUAAAAAGUGCGAGUUUUCUAACGGCGCCCAGUCUCUCUAGUCUGAUGGGCGCGUAGAAGUGUCUGACGUCUCUCCUGGCUCCAUGAGGCUGUUGGAUGGAGGGCACGCCCAGCCGUUUCCCUGUCUCCCUCCGGCCUGUGUGGUUUGGCUCCCCCUGGUGGCAGCGACGAGAACAAGCAGCCUAGCUGCUGCUUAGGUCGACGGAAUGACGCUCAGUUUGUAGCAGUCUGGAAGUCGCUUCUCCCCAGGUGCUUCCUGUAGGUCUCCCCUGCGCCGGAGUUUUCCCCUCCUGGCGGAACGCAUCUGGGGAAGCUGCCUCUCUGACUAAUAGCCAGUACAAAGGUCUUUGAACUUGUAUGGUCGGGUCAGUUUUUAUAGCUUCUCUGUGACAUGACACUCUUGCUUUUGGCUGGAGCCCUGGGUCACAUCAAAGUGAAGAAAACCCGUUUCUGUCUGCAGUGGCAUUUUCAGACAAUGUCAAAGAUGAGAAGAGACAGACUAGAGCAGAUGUGGCAGAAGGAUGGGUCCCAGCGUGGCUCCAUCUUAAUAGAUGGCUGGCUGCCCUCCAGGUGGCGGAUGUGCUGAGGUGGGGAGAAUCAUCUUGUUUUUGAGGGGCAGGAUUUCUUAUUAGGGCAAAGGGUAAAUGCCUUACUUUAUAGCAUCUUGUCAGAAGUUUGCAGUAAAUGGCACAAUACUAGCUUUUCAUGACUAAUGUGUGAAGCAUUGUUCUCGAUACCUUCAGAAACCUCUAAAUAUUUUGGAUAAAUGGAACAAAAUGGUUUAUUAAACAUUUUUAAAGAUAGCUCUACAGAAAAAUAAAAAAGUGAUGAACACUUCAAUAAAAAUAAGCAAGACCAUGAGCAGACCAUCCAGAGAACAUUUUCAGUCCUUGUCUGAUUUUGCUUCUUAGCAUCUGUGUUUUUUUUUUUUUGAGGAAGAUUAGCUCUGAGCUAACAUCUGCCACCAAUCCUCCUCUUUUUUUUUUUCUUUUUGCUGAGGAAGGCUGCCCCUGAGCUAACAUCUGUGCCCAUCUUCCUCCACUUUAUAUGUGGGAUGCCUACCACCUCAUGGCUUGCCAAGCGGUGCCAUGCACCUGGGAUCUGAACUGGCGAACCCCGAGCUGCCGAAGUGGAACGUGUGCACUUAACUGCUGUGCCAGCGGCCCGGCCCCGACUCCCCCAACCCAGCACAUCUGAAACUGAAGGCACCAACAUCCCUCCAAAACCAGGCUCUCUUCCAGGGACCAUCUCUCCAUCUACAACCUCGGAGUAAUCCCUGACGCUUUCUCUUCUUUGCUGCCUCCCCAAAUGCAUUUCAUCAUUGAGCCCUGACAUUUUUCACUUCCUAAAUGUUUCUCAAACUUGUCCACUUGUCUACCUCCACCACCACUGCCCUUCCCUAAGCUGUCAGGGCUGCUGUGCACAGUUGUGAAGCUUACUAAUAUGCAUUUAAGGUUCCU
ensembl:lncRNA